AUGCCAUGAUGUGGGCAUUGGCGGAGAAGCUCAUUGAAUCUUUCCCAUGACUCUUGAAGGGUUUCAUCGGUCCUUUCCUUGAAUGUCAUCAUCUUGGAGCGC